AUCCUUGUAGAUCAGUGGCAGAUCUUGUCCAUGUCUUCCUCCUACAGAGGCAACGCGGGUUCGACUCCCGCCGAGGAUA